GACGAACGCUGGCGGCGUGCUUAACACAUGCAAGUCGAACGGUGAAGCGCCUUCCUUUUUGGUGGGUGUGGAUGAGUGGCGAACGGGUGAGUAACACGUGAGUAACCUGCCCCCUUCUUCUGGAUAACCGCAUGAAAGUGUGGCUAAUACGGGAUAUUCUGGGUCUGUCGCAUGAUGGGUCUGGGAAAGAUAUUGUUUCGGUGGGGGAUGGGCUCGCGGCCUAUCAGCUUGUUGGUGGGGUGAUGGCCUACCAAGGCGGUGACGGGUAGCCGGCCUGAGAGGGUGGACGGUCACACUGGGACUGAGACACGGACCAGACUACUACGGGAGGCAGCAGUGGGGAAUAUUGCACAGUGGGCGCAAGCCUGAUGCAGCGACGCCGCGGGAGGGAUGGAGGCCUUCGGGUUGUGAACCUCUUUCGCCAGUGAAGCAGGCCUGCCUCGUUUGUGGGUGGGUUGACGGUAGCUGGAUAAGAAGCGCCGGCUAACUACGUG
rnacentral:rRNA from 1 species